CAUUUAUGGCUGUUGAGCCGCUAGUAAGAAUAAAGAGAUAUGUCGGCCAGGUGGUGCCGCCUUGGGAAACCUAUAAAUAGGUAUCCACGGCAGUUUCCACGAUAUUGCAUUCUAUCAUAGAAAAGCAGUUUCUUGCUCUUCCAACAUUUCGUAGUUUGGGAAUGGGAGAACACCAAAACGGAGAAUCGUUCUUCGUUCACCGUGACGAGGAAGAAAGAACACUGAUGCCGCCUUAACCUAUUACCUUUUACUGGUUUGGUUUCUUGAUCUUGAACGUUACCUGUAUCCUCGAUACAAUGAUGUGAUCUUUUGGAGACAUUGGAAACAAGAAAGAAUUGCUCUUUCAAUUUGUUCACAGGAUUGUACUUAGCAGAAGCCUUGAAAGUGAAGGAACCAUUGUGGGAUGAACCAAAAAUUCAAGAGGAUGAAAUGUUAUCAGAAAUUGGUGUUUAACACAAUUCUUGAGGAGGAUGAAAUGUUACAAAUGCUCCUAGAUUCAACGAACAAAUAUGAAAAGUUAAGAGGAAAACGAUAAAACGGGAACAACAAUCUUGAUUUUUGUUGAUCGGGCAACAUGCAUUUUCAAGAUUAUGUCUGAAAGAACAUGGAGUCAUGGUGAGGAAAAACUAUUCAAAUGGUUGAAUUUAAGUAAGUGCAUUGCAUCAAGAACAUGCAUGAUCAGGAUUUUGUCAAAUUAAAGCAUACUCAGAAAUCAAAGGAAUCGCUAGUGGAGACACACCAUUCAACAAAAGGGUGAUACUGAGUCUAUCCAGAAGACUGUGUGGCUGAUGAAUGAAUAUGGGCACUUCACGUUUUUCAAGCUGCAAGGAAAAUUGCUCUCUAAGAAAUCCCGGGACCAGAAUACUCCAAUGUAUUAAAGAAUUUGAUAACAAAUUUUCUAAAUUCGUUUGGAUAUAAUGAUAUAUUUCAGGAAGAAAAGGGUUCCUUUCAGUGGAAAGUAACAGAUAAUAUAAGCCAGAAGAAAAAUCAGAACAGGUAGGUUUGUGUUGCCAAGUUCCUGGUCUGCAUUUUGUUAGAUUUUCCUGUAUAAUUGUUCAGCUUAAGGUCCCAGUUCCCACGCUGAUCCUUUGCCCUAUAGCUACACAAAUACUAGUGUGAAAUUUGUUUAGGAAAUCAAGCAGUCUGAAUAAAAGUUGCUGCUAUAUGUACCGUUUGACCUGUUGCUUUAUCUGAUGAUUUCCCAUCUUUUGAAAAUAGAAUGAGGUCUGUCAUGCCAAUAUCACUAAUAGGUUCCUUCUUUCUUGAUCUUUUGAGCAAGCUUUUAAAAUGAUUAUGGUGUUAGGCUUAUUAGUUAGAUAUUUUGUCUCUUAAAAAUAACAGUAGGGACCGGAAUGGAUGCUCAGAUUAGCAUCAGGAAAAGUGAAAUUACAGCUAGAGUAAAACAUGAACAUUAAGGCCAAUCAAGAGUAUUGUUUUUUACAUGCUAAUUGCUAAAUCACUCUGUAAAAACUUGUCACCAGAUGAACUUUGAAGCUUGAAAUCAUAGUAAGAUGGGGAAUCAAAAGAUACACAAGAUGGGUGCAAACAGAGAGAUCCAUUCGGCAAAGGCAAAA